rnacentral:rRNA from 1 species
GUGGGGAAUAUUGGGCAAUGGGCGCAAGCCUGACCCAGCAACGCCGCGUGAAGGAAGAAGGCUUUCGGGUUGUAAACUUCUUUUACCAGGGACGAAACAAAUGACGGUACCUGGUGAAUAAGCCACGGCUAACCACGUGCCAGCAGCCGCGGUAAUACGUAGGUGGCGAGCGUUAUCCGGAUUUAUUGGGUGUAAAGGGCGUGUAGGCUGGACAGCAAGUCAGAUGUGAAAACCAGAGGCUCAACCUCUGGCCUGCAUUUGAAACUGUUGUUCUUGAGUGUCGGAGAGGUAAUCGGAAUUCCGUGUGUAGCGGUGAAAUGCGUAGAUAUACGGAGGAACACCAGUGGCGAAGGCGGAUUACUGGACGAUAACUGACGCUGAGGCGCGAAAGCGUGGGGAGCAAACAGGAUUAGAAACCCUAGUAGUCC